CCAAGACUCGGAGUCCAACAUCACACAAAGCCCUCCCUGGGAAGGGGACAGAAGGACAGAGGGUUGAAAAAUCACGAAUCUGAGCCACCCGUGGAAGCUAGAGGAAGCUAAGGUCUUGGAGACUCAGCUGCACUAUGGCGGGGCUGGUGCAGAGACCUGUCUGAAGCAGGAACCCAGAUCUGAAGGGCAGGACCAAAGGCAAGCAGCACUCCUGGCUCAAAGGCAAGAAACAAGAAGAAGGGGAAACUGGCAACGACAAAGAUCCGUGGUGUGGGACGUGGUCCAAACAUGUGUACCCGUGAAGGUGGAGAUGUGACCAGGAUGACCAGCCCCUUUCCCUAGUGUUCAGAGACUACCCUCAUCCACACCCACACCCUCCUGUGCCUGGCUGAGGUCUGAGGAUCUUCUGUACCAGGAGAAGAUGGCCCAGAUGCGCUGGACUCUCAGAUACGGAUGGAUGGCGUCUUUGGAAGUCCUGAACACUUUGAGGUGUUCUCUUCAUGCAUUCUGGGAUACUCACUAAUGAAACCCCAAUGAAUGAAGAAUCCUACACCAUGCUAACGCUCAGACCGCCAUAUUUCACACAUCCUAUAUCAUCUGUGGCCUCUUGUUUUUACCUCAGCCAGUGCUGUGGAGUACGUGGCUCUGACCUUUGAUUCUGCUUUGUAAAUAAGGAAGCUGAGGGGCCACGGGGAUGUGCAACUUGCUGAAGGUCACACAGCCACAGAGGGCAGAGGCUGGGCUCACACCGCUCCCACUGAUUCUGGACCCCCCCCCCCCCGAGAGCCACCAUUUAGUGAUCUCCUGGGAUACGUACAGCAAGGAUAUGCUAGCAAUGUUUUUAGACCGAAACUGCUCGCUGGGUUACCAUUAGCCUGACCACAAAUGCUUCUCAGGAAGAGGCCGAGGAGUUGGAGGUGAGGUCAGUGGUAAAGGGCUGGCAGCAUGCAGAGGCCCCUAGGUUCUAUUCUUGGCACCGAGAAGGGUGGAAGAAGGAGAGGGAAAGACAAGAGAGGAGAAGGAGUAAGGAUUGGUGGUGUCUGUGGAGUCAGCUGAGCCAUUUGGGGAUAUACUGACCAGAGUGGCAGCUGCCUAGAAAGAUUUAAUCAAUUUUUAAAUUGUGUGUUUGUGUGUGUGUGAGUUGAGUGAGUGAAUGAAUGUCCAUGCCAUAACACACAUGUGGAGUUCAGAGACCGCUGGCGGGAGUCAGUCCUUUCGUUCGACCAUGUGGGGCUCAGACACGGAACUCAGGCUUGAGAGCAAGUACCUUUACUCCACCGAGUCGUGCCACGGGCCUCACAACUGCCUAAAUAAAAAGGAAAGGUAAAAAAAAAUCCCAGUCUCCCAUAGUCUACCAUGUAGCUCCCUUCACCAUGGUUUGUGUGGUUCUAAAAGGUCAGCACGAGCCAAGCAUGUUGGUGCACGCCCGUCAUCCUUCUCCUCAGGAGUUGGAGGGGGAGGGUCACAGCCGAAGCCAGUGCCUGCCUGCCACCCUGCUCCUCAGUGAGCUGGAGGGGGAUGGUCAAAUUCAAAGGUCAAGGCCAGUCUAAGUUACCUAUGAAGACCUUCUAUAAAACAACAAACAGCCCCAAGAGUUGAAAGUAGUUAUUGCUGGAAAAGGAUCAGUCAUUCAUGAAUGACUUUGAUCUAUGCUCAUAAGUAACAUUGGAAAUUAAACAAAAUCCAAAGUGAAAAUCAAAAGAAUUCUGGCUCCAGUCAGGGAGGAAGGGAAAUGACUACGGUGGAGAGAAAGGAGACCUAGGAGGAGGUCGGGCUUCCUUGUUCAUCACACAAAGAAAAGGACCUGAGCCAGGGAUUGACAUUGGUGGUGAGUUCUUGGGCUGGGAACAUAGCUCGAAGGGUAAAGUAUCUGCCUAGCAGUUACGAGAUCCUCUUGGGAUCAGUCCCUAGCACGGUAUAACACUAGGCACGAUAGCAAAUAUCUUUAAUCCCAUCAUUCGGAGUGUAGAGGAAAGGGGAUACAUAAUAAGUUUGAGGCUAGCCUUGGCUUCACGAGACUAACUCAAAAGAGCAGAGGAAGGGGAGCUAGGGAGACGGCUCAGAGGAAAGAGAGCUUGUUGCCCAGACAUGAGGACCUGAAUUCUGAUCCACAGUACCCAUAUGAGAAGCUAGACUCAGCAACAUGCUGCUGGGAACUCAGAGCUGGGGAGGUGAAAACCAGAGAUCCCUGGGGCUAAAUAAUCAAAUCUGUGAGCUCAGUGAGAAACUAUGUCUCAAAAAAUGAGACAGAGAGUAGCUGGGGAAGACAUCCAGCAUCAGUGUCUAACAAAUGAAUAUGUACACUUGUGUAUACACACACACACACACACACACACACACACACA